UACGAAGGGGGCUAGCGUUGCUCGGAAUCACUGGGCGUAAAGCGCACGUAGGCGGCUUUUUAAGUCAGAGGUGAAAUCCUGGAGCUCAACUCCAGAACUGCCUUUGAUACUGAGGAUCUUGAGUUCGGGAGAGGUGAGUGGAACUGCGAGUGUAGAGGUGAAAUUCGUAGAUAUUCGGAAGAACACCAGUGGCGAAGGCGACUUACUGGACACAUAUUGACGCUGAGGUGCGAAAGCGUGGGGAGCAAACAGG
rnacentral:rRNA from 1 species